rnacentral:lncRNA from 1 species
GUUCUGAGACCCUCAAUGCAUACCUGAAAGUGUGGUAAGUACCAAACCCUAAAUAUACUAUGUUCUUUCCUAUACCUACAUCCCUAUGAUAAAGUUUAAUUUAUAAAUUAAGCACAGUAAGGGAUUAACAAUAACUACUAAGGAAAUAGAAUUAUAAGAAUACACUAUAAUAAAAGUUAUGUGAAUGUGGUCUCUCUCUCUCUCAAACAUCUUAUUGUGCUGUACUCACCCUUCUUCUUGUGAUAAUGUGAGAUGAUAAAAUGCCUCCAUGAUGAGAUAAAGUGAGGUGAAUGACAUAGGCAUUGUGACAUUAGUGUUAGGCUACUAUUGACCUGACAGUAGGUCAGAAGGAGGAAUACCUGCUUCUGGACCAUAGUUGACCAUGGUUAGCUAAAACUGGAAAUCAACACCGCAGAUAAGGGAGGACGACGGUAUCUUCCUCAGAGUAAUACUUUGGUAAAGUAUUAGAACAGGCAAUUGAAACACUGGUUGUCCAAAUGGGGAAGGGGGAGAUAGGGGGAGGAUGCUGGUAUGACAACUAUACUUUUUUUUUCCUUUCCCAUUAUCACACUUAACUUUCUUUUUCCUACCUCAUACAGUGGUCCCUGGGCCAAGGCUGCAACUAUAUUGCUGGAAGCAGGAAUGAUUCCUAAGGAACAAAUUGUUUAAAAAUAUUUAUAUCAGAAUUCCCAAGGGCCUGAUGGGUGAGCUGUGCUUUCACUCUAUCUGGCAACAUUGGGGCUAAUGAAUCCAGUUAUAUUGCCUAUUGGUAGAAAUAUCCCACUAGUCCUGUACCUGUAUAACCCUACCCUAUAUGAAUGGGAGUAGACUGCAGGGGAGGCCUUUACUAGACUUGUAUUGUCUAGCUGAACCUAAGGUCCCUUCCAAAGGUGAAAAGGUUUGGGUAUAAAUGGAGAGGAGGAAUAGUGGCUAAGAAUAAAGGUAUGAAUAAAUGUGUUGUGCAGUGUGAAUAAAAUGUGUUUCUAAUAUUAAUGCUUGGAAAGAAGCUCAGAGCAAGAGAUAUUGUCUCUUAACUCAAUUAUAACAAAUGCCUGAAAGUGUGAAGCUGAGACCACUCCUGCUUUUGGAACUUGACAAGACCACAUGGAAUGAAGCCUGUAAACCUAAGUGCCCUCACUCUGAGAGACAUUAUGGUCAUUGUAUAUGAUGAUUAUUGGACUAAUUAUUAGAGACUGCAUAGGGAUUCUAGUAAUGUGCCAGAAUCUUUUGGCUCUUAUUUUUCAGUUUAUGUCUAUCAUAAUGUGAUAUGCUAUAACCCACUUGGAUUGUUGGGAAGAUAAUACUGAUACAGAUAACCAUACUGGGAACUUGAUCAAUAGCUCCCUAUCCUUACCCCACAUUGAUUCCUCUAAAUGUUGCUACAUUUUUUAUGCUCAGUUAGGUAUGUACCUUUGCCAUAGAAGAUCCUAUGGUCAAAGAGCAGGGGAUGGUCUGAAUAUAUCUGGUCUGAGGUGGGGUGUGUAGGGGGUGGGUGGUACAGAGCUUUCAAAAUCUUUGGAAUUUCCUGAGUGAUAGGAGCACCUUUUUUAUGCUAAUUAGGUGACUGUGUGUGUGUGUGUGUGUGUGUGUGUGUGUCUUUGUGUGUCUGUGUUAUGGAAGCUAGAUAGCUUCAGGAUGAGGACCGGUCAGCAGAAAAACCACAUAGUUAGGGGCGCCUGGGUGGCGCAGUCGGUUAAGC